rnacentral:tRNA from 1 species
GGGGAGAUAGUUUAAUGAGGUUAAAACAUAGACUUUGCACGUCUAUUAUAUGGAUUCGAGUUCCAUUUUCUCCA